rnacentral:tRNA from 2 species
CCUUCGAUAGCUCAGUUGGUAGAGCGGUGGACUGUAGAAAUCUGGCGAGGAUCAGGUCGAGCAGAAAUGCAUCUGAUGAUCACCUGCAAGUCAGUAGAAAUCCAUAGGUCACUGGUUCAAAUCCGGUUCGAAGGA